CAAGAGCGUAUGUAAAAGUUGUUGCAGUUAAAAAGCUCGUAGUUGAACCUUGGGUUUGGUUGGCCGGUCCGCUUUUUUGCGAGUACUGGAUUCAACCGAGCCUUACCUUCUGGCUAACCAGUCGUUUCGGCGGCUGGCGAACCAGGAUUUUUACUUUGAGAAAAUUAGAGUGUUCAAAGCAGGCAUUAGCUUGAAUAUAUUAGCAUGGAAUAAUAGAAUAGGACGUUAUGGAUCUAUUUUGUUGGUUUCUAGGACCAUCGUAAUGAUUAAUAGGGACGGUCGGGGGCAUCAGUAUUCAGUUGUCAGAGGUGAAAUUCUUGGAUUUACUGAAGACUAACUACUGCGAAAGCAUUUGCCAAGGACGUUUUCAUUAA
rnacentral:rRNA from 1 species